rnacentral:rRNA from 1 species
CUGAUGAGCUUGAAUACACUAGAGCUAGGCGGAAUGUGACAAGUAGCGGUGAAAUGCAUAGAUAUGUCACAGAACACCGAUUGCGAAGGCAGCUUACUAUGGUGUGAUUGACACUGAGGCACGAAAGCGUGGGGAUCAAACAGGAUUAGAUACCCUGGUUGUCCACGCCCUAAACGAUGAAUACUCGCUGUUAGCGUAUACAGUUAGCGGCUAAGCGAAAGGGUUAAGUAUUCCACCUGGGGAGUACGCCCGCAAGGGUGAAACUCAAAGGAAUUGACGGGGGCCCGCACAAGCGGAGGAGCAUGUGGUUUAAUUCGAUGAUACGCGAGGAACCUUACCCGGGCUUGAAAGUUAGUGAAUUAUCCAGAGAUGGAUAAGUGAGCAAUCACACGAAACUAGGUGCUGCAUGGCUGUCGUCAGCUCGUGCCGUGAGGUGUUGGGUUAAGUCCCGCAACGAGCGCAACCCCUACGUUUAGUUGCCAGCACGUUAUGGUGGGGACUCUAAACAGACUGCCUGUGCAAACAGAGAGGAAGGAGGGGACGACGUCAAGUCAUCAUGGCCCUUACGUCCGGGGCUACACACGUGCUACAAUGGAUGGUACAGAGGGCAGCAAGCUGGCAACAGCAAGCGAAUCUCAAAAAGCCAUUCACAGUUCGGAUAGAGGUCUGCAACUCGACCUCUUGAAGUUGGAUUCGCUUGUAAUCGCAUAUCAGCAAUGAUGCGGUGAAUACGUUCCCGGGCCUUGUACACACCGCCCGUCAAGCCAUGGAAGUUGGGGGUACCUAAAG